CGUACACUCCUACGGGAGGCAGCAGUGGGGAAUAUUGCACAAUGGGCGCAAGCCUGAUGCAGCCAUGCCGCGUGUAUGAAGAAGGCCUUCGGGUUGUAAAGUACUUUCAGCGGGGAGGAAGGCGAUAAGGUUAAUAACCUUGUCGAUUGACGUUACCCGCAGAAGAAGCACCGGCUAACUCCGUGCCAGCAGCCGCGGUAAUACGGAGGGUGCAAGCGUUAAUCGGAAUUACUGGGCGUAAAGCGCACGCAGGCGGUCUGUCAAGUCGGAUGUGAAAUCCCCGGGCUCAACCUGGGAACUGCAUUCGAAACUGGCAGGCUAGAGUCUUGUAGAGGGGGGUAGAAUUCCAGGUGUAGCGGUGAAAUGCGUAGAGAUCUGGAGGAAUACCGGUGGCGAAGGCGGCCCCCUGGACAAAGACUGACGCUCAGGUGCGAAAGCGUGGGGAGCAAACAGGAUUAGAUACCCCAGUAGUCCC
rnacentral:rRNA from 1 species